CCUUAGAGUUUGAUCCUGGCUCAGAGCGAACGCUGGCGGCAGGCUUAACACAUGCAAGUCGAGCGGGCGUAGCAAUACGUCAGCGGCAGACGGGUGAGUAACGCGUGGGAACGUACCUUUUGGUUCGGAACAACACAGGGAAACUUGUGCUAAUACCGGAUAAGCCCUUACGGGGAAAGAUUUAUCGCCGAAAGAUCGGCCCGCGUCUGAUUAGCUAGUUGGUGAGGUAAUGGCUCACCAAGGCGACGAUCAGUAGCUGGUCUGAGAGGAUGAUCAGCCACAUUGGGACUGAGACACGGCCCAAACUCCUACGGGAGGCAGCAGUGGGGAAUAUUGGACAAUGGGGGCAACCCUGAUCCAGCCAUGCCGCGUGAGUGAUGAAGGCCCUAGGGUUGUAAAGCUCUUUUGUGCGGGAAGAUAAUGACGGUACCGCAAGAAUAAGCCCCGGCUAACUUCGUGCCAGCAGCCGCGGUAAUACGAAGGGGGCUAGCGUUGCUCGGAAUCACUGGGCGUAAAGGGUGCGUAGGCGGGUCUUUAAGUCAGGGGUGAAAUCCUGGAGCUCAACUCCAGAACUGCCUUUGAUACUGAAGAUCUUGAGUUCGGGAGAGGUGAGUGGAACUGCGAGUGUAGAGGUGAAAUUCGUAGAUAUUCGCAAGAACACCAGUGGCGAAGGCGGCUCACUGGCCCGAUACUGACGCUGAGGCACGAAAGCGUGGGGAGCAAACAGGAUUAGAUACCCUGGUAGUCCACGCCGUAAACGAU
rnacentral:rRNA from 1 species